CGCACUGGUUCCACCAUGUAUCGGUGUUCUUUAAGUUUGUCUUCUAGGCCGGAAGUGAGUAACAAUUGAGGAACACCCUAUGGCUCCAACAACGACAGGGUCCGCUAUAUUGAAGAUGUCAACUGAGAAUGGUGUACUCAAAGAGAACUGCGGGGCCUUUGCUCUUGUAGAAUCUGGAAAGUCAGACGUUGACAAAGAAGACUUCGAGGAGAAUGGACUUCU